rnacentral:rRNA from 1 species
AGCGAACGCUGGCGGCAGGCUUAACACAUGCAAGUCGAGCGGGCACUUUCGGGUGUCUGCGGCGUACGGGUGACGAACGCGUGGGAACGUGCCCUCUCGUUCGGAUUAACUCAUGGAAACUUGAGCUAAUACCGGAUAUGCCCCUUUUGGGGAAGGCGUGCUGCCGGAGGAUCGGGCCGCGUCUGGUUAGUUAGUUGGUGGGGUGAGCGGUCACCAAGGCGGCGAUCAGUAGAGGGUAUGAGAGGAUGAUCAGCCACACCGGGACUGGGAAGCGGCGCGGACUACUACGGGAGGCAGGAGUGGGUGAUAUUGGACAAUGGGGGGAAGGCUGAUGCAGCCAUGCUGCGUGAGUGAUGAAGGCGUUAGGGUUGUAAAGCUCUUUUAUCCGGGACGAUAAUGACGGUACCGGAGGAAUAAGCACCGGCUAACUUCGUG